AGGACGAACGCUGGCGGCGUGCUUAACACAUGCAAGUGGAGCGACGAACCAGGCUUCGGCCUGGGGCAGAGCCGCGAACGGGUGAGUAACACGUGAGCAACCUGCCUUUAGCUCUGGGAUAGCUUCGGGAAACCGGAAUUAAUACCGGAUAUGACCACGGUCGGCAUCGACCAUGGUGGAAAGAUUUAUCGGCUAGAGAUGGACUCGCGGCCUAUCAGCUUGUUGGUGAGGUAAUGGCUCACCAAGGCGACGACGGGUA
rnacentral:rRNA from 1 species